CAUACUUCCUAGUUAAUAUUCCUAAUAUUCCAUUUGAAUAAAAAAGUUUACAAUAUGUGUAGUUACUAUAAAUUAUGAUAGUUAAAAUAUGAAGUUACUAGUUAUUCGAAUUUGAAAUGUUUGAUUUUUCUUAUAUUUUUUAUUUAUAUAUUUGUUUAAUGCUUAAAAGUGUAAUAUAAUAUGGUUUCUGUUUCCUAUAAGCUGUUAUAAUGGAAACAUAAAUUUUUAAAAGUCUCUGCAAGUGUUUGAAUUUCUUAUUUUACUUAUU